rnacentral:lncRNA from 1 species
GACUGAGUAGAAGACCGCUAGAGAUCUUCGAUUCUGAAUUAGACACCUUGUGAAGCGACCUCUGAUGGUAGCGACAUUUAUCAACCAUUACCCACAUUUAAGGCAGCUAUGCCUUUAAAGUCCAGUCUAUAACCUGUUAAAAGAAAACAGCAUUCAGGCUCCUUAUCUCGUUUUAUCUAGUUCUAGCCUAAAAAGUCACACCUGAAGUGCUUCAGUCCUUGUCGAUCCGAAAACCCAUAUCCCACCAUUUCCCUUUUAAAGAUCACACAACCGAAACUUAAAUACAAACUGCCCAUCCCCUUCCC